CUCUGGUUAUCAAUAAGUCAUUCAUAUUAAAUUAAUAUAACAAUGUUAGAGAUUACUUGCCAUUUCCAGAGUAAAGAUCAGUUUCUUCUUUCAGUUUGUUGAGAGAAAGUGGAACUGGGUGACAAGUGUUAACACCCACAGACACCUCAGAAACCUGCUGCAUGCUGCUAUGGCACCAAAAAUCUGUGAAGGAGGAUGAAUCUGGGGGUGGACACAUAGUUAUGAAUGCUCUCGAAAGAGAAUUAUUUUAUGUUUGUCCUUACAGUUCAUUGAUACAACAUUCACAUACAAUAUUAAACCAAUCAGCUCAACUCGUAAUUAUCAUCUGGAACAGUAUUCUGCUCAAUAGCAGAUGCUUGUUACAGAAAUGUAAAUUCAGCUAAAACAAUAUACUUGAUAUUUCCAUAAAAAAAAAAAAAAAAAAAGAAUUCACCAUCUUGCACAAAUUAAGGGACAUUUCAGUAGCAGGUCGCUAAAUGUUGGUAAGUCUAAUAUUCAAAAUAAAACUAAAAUUACUAUCAUUAGAAGCCAUCGGGAAACUAAAACUUCUAAUAUAAUGGUUGCCAUGUUGUUGACUUUAGGCAAAUCUCAUGGAUCAGUCCGUGAUUCAGCCGGAAACAAGCAAGUAGCCACUUUUCUCGUGGUUUUAACGUUACCUACGAGCUAAUGUUUAAUCAGUGAACUUUGCUUGUUUUUUAUUGAUCCAGUGGAACUGGUGGGUGUCACUCGUGUGGUGGAUGCCAUCACGUUUUGGGCUCAGAAUGUGACAGACAAAAUAAAUGAGAAGAUAAAUGUUAUGCUGACAGAAAAAUGACAGAGUUCACACAAGUUCUAAAUUUUGUACAUUGAACUCCCAGAAGAACUGCAGACAACAGGACUUGCAAAAACGUACAAGUUCUGGGACUUUCAUGUGUCAAUUGAGUAGGAUUCCCCGAUUCUUUCACAGGGGAAGUCCUUUCUUCAGAAUACGAUUCAUGGAAAAAAGUUGCAUGUCCAUAAAAAGUCGGUUUGCUUUGAUGGAACCAUCCUGGUUGAAGCCUUCCAGGGGAAUCUUGACAUUGAGGAUGAGAGAGGUGAUCAAUGAUAAGGACAUGGAGAUAAAGAAACUAAAAGAAGAAGGAAGUGCCAUCCAGCAGCAUGCAUCUCUCCUGGGGCAGCAGCUUGAGGAGGCCAAAUUAGAGCUCCAGGUGCCCAGAACUGUUUCACACAUAGGGGUGUUGAUUGUUCAGUGUGUUUUAGGCCAUGAGGCAGAUUAAUGACAUCCACCUUAUUUUAUUAACUUAAAAAAUGCGCACCUGUCUUGAAUGUCCGACGUUUCUGGUUUCAUCCGUUUCCAUUUAUUUUUUUCACUGUGUAACAUAGCUCAUUUAUGCUGCUUGAUACUGCAAAGUGGUAUUUCUUAUCGUAUAGUAUUAAUGUAUUAUUUUAACUAGUAACACACUGGUUUGUAGUGCAAAUAGUUCUACGGUUUGCUACACUUUGUUGUUCUUCUAGUUAUUAAAGGGAUACUCCACCCCAAAAUGAAACUUUUGUCAUUAUUCCCAUGUCGUUCCAAACCCGUAAAAGCUCCGUUCGUCUUCGGAACACAAUUUAAGAAAUUUUGGAUGAAAACCGGGAGGCCUGUGACUGUCCCAUAGACUGCCAAGUAAGUUACACUGUCAAGGUCCAGAAAAGUAUGAAAGACAUCGUCAGAAUACUCGAGAAUAUUUUUUGUAAGCAACUGAUCUUCUGUAUCAGCCGUGCCACAAAGAUGCGGUUUUCUUUCAAAUCAAAGCUAAAUACACGUAGAGACAGUGCAUCUUUGCUCUUUUAUCUGCUGUAGAUGACUUCCUGCAGGAGGUGGACAAGCUGCCAAUCGCUGACCGCUUGUACAAGUUGAAGGUAUGUAGUGAAGGAAGAUACAAAUGAGAAUUAUUUUACUUCUCGAAUCAGCUUGUCAGAGACUGUGCUCAGUUCUGGACUCUCUUGUAUUUUCUAACUAAUAGAGGUGUGAAAAACCCAUGAAUUAAAAAAAAAACCCAAAUACAUAGUAAGUGAAGAUUCACCUUCCAGCUUUUCAUUAAUGCAUUUCGAACUGUGUCGUCUGCAUAUAUAGGAAGUUGCAUCCUCACUGACUGCAAUAUUUAGCUCUCUUAUGCUGGCGGAGCAGAACGAAGAGUGCUCUUUUGAGAAGUUCUGUGAGUGGAAGGGGCACAAACAACAACAAAAUGAAAAAUGUGUGAAAACCUACAGAUGAGGCUCUCCUUGCUCUUAGCU
ensembl:lncRNA